GCCUCUCUAGCUCAGCAGGAAGCAGCAGCUGUUUCGUAAACAGCCGGUCGUCGGUUCGAGUCCGACGGGAGGCA
rnacentral:tRNA from 1 species